GUCCCGAUAUUCAUGAAAUUGACGUGUGUAACCUCCUAAACCUAGAGCAGCCCUGUUUGAAAAAAAUGGCAUCGACUCUUCUUCUGGCUGAUGCUAUAAAUAAAGAGCAGCAGGGUGGAACCAAACCAAGGAAACUGAAGUUGCACUUUGAGGAGAGACGAGAUCAUGAGGAAGCAAUACUCCCCUGUGCUCUCCUUGUGCCUGAUGGCCCUUGUCGUAGCUGCUAUGGUCUGUGUCAUGUACACCACCUCGGCACAAGCAGGAAGGAGUGGCUACAACUCGUACGAACCUGAUGGAAGGAGUGGAUACAACUCUGUUCCAAUAAACGGCGGUGGCAGCCCCUAGCCAGGCGGUGGAGCCUGUAUCAGAAAUCAAAAAAAUAUAAAGGCUCAUCGGAUGAAAACUGUGUGUGUAUUCUGUCAUGUCAUGUGUGUUGGUAUAUGAUGGCUUGGUCGUCGUAAUUAAUGUAAUGUGUGG
rnacentral:lncRNA from 1 species